rnacentral:rRNA from 1 species
GACGAACGCUGGCGGCGUGCCUGAUACAUGCAAGUAGAACGCUGAAGGAGGAGCUUGCUUCUCCGGAUGAGUUGCGAACGGGUGAGUAACUCGUAGGUAACCUGCCUGGUAGCGGGGGAUAACUAUUGGAAACGUUAGCUAAUACCGCAUAAAAGUAGAUGUUGCAUGACAUUUGCUUAAAAGGUGCGAUUGCAUCACUACCAGAUGGACCUGCGUUGGUAUUAGCUAGUUGGUGGGGUAACGGGCUCCACCAAGGCGACGAUUCGUUGCCUACCUGAUGAGGGUGAUCUGCCCACACUGGGACCUGGGACACGGCCCCAUACUCCUUCUGGGGGCAGCAGUUGGGGAAUUUUCUGGAAUGGUUUUGUAGCUUGACCGAUCAAUGCCCUCGGAUGGAAGAAGGUUUUCGGAUUUGAAAAGAUUUUUGGUGAUAUAAAAAAGAAGGUUGAUGGGUUGAAUUUGCAUUGUGAACGUG